UCCUCGUUCAAAGGAUCGCAGUCGAAGCACACAAACGGAGCAGACCUCGUGUCUCUCAGCUCUUCAUGGGCUAGUCUAUGCUUUGGGAGAAAGUCCCCGGACGACCUUUACCUUGUAAAGGAACGCGGAAACGCGCCGCCAUAGAAGCACUGCGGCUUCUUAUUUCUUCUCUUCUACCUAUUCUUGGGCCGGCCUUCGUCGUCGCUUGUACUCGCUUUCUGCGCUUUUGAUUGCCGCUGCUGGGUGAGGGGGAGACCAUAUGGAUGAAGAUAUGAGUCCGAGCUCUCCUGAUCUCAGCUGUGGUAGAGCAUAUGCAACGACUGCGGGGAGGCGGGGAAGUUACCCUCGGUCUGAGUUGGGGGUUCUAGGAGGGGGGAGGCUUUCGUCGAGAGUGAUAGUUAUGCGAUUGCCCUCCUGGGCUGGCCUCACGGUCGGUCUAGGGGUGUAACUCGAUGGGGCUUAUUCUUGAGACGAGG
rnacentral:RNase_MRP_RNA from 2 species